CCUACGGGAGGCAGCAGUGAGGAAUAUUGGUCAAUGGACGAGAGGCUGAACCAGCCAAGUAGCGUGAAGGAUGACGGCCCUAUGGGUUGUAAACUUCUUUUAUAUGGGAAUAAAAUGUUCCACGUGUGGGAUUUUGUAUGUACCAUAUGAAUAAGGAUCGGCUAACUCCGUGCCAGCAGCCGCGGUAAUACGGAGGAUCCGAGCGUUAUCCGGAUUUAUUGGGUUUAAAGGGAGCGUAGGUGGAUUGUUAAGUCAGUUGUGAAAGUUUGCGGCUCAACCGUAAAAUUGCAGUUGAAACUGGCAGUCUUGAGUACAGUAGAGGUAGGCGGAAUUCGUGGUGUAGCGGUGAAAUGCUUAGAUAUCACGAAGAACUCCGAUUGCGAAGGCAGCUCACUGGCCUGCAACUGACACUGAGGCUCGAAAGUGUGGGUAUCAAACAGGAUUAGAUACCCCAGUAGUC
rnacentral:rRNA from 1 species